rnacentral:rRNA from 1 species
GACGAACGCUGGCGGCGUGCUUAACACAUGCAAGUCGAACGAUGAAAGAGGAGCUCGCUCCCCUGGAUUAGUGGCGAACGGGUGAGUAACACGUGAGCAAUCUGCCCCUGACUCCGGAAUAACUACGGGAAACUGUAGCUAAUACCGGAUAUGCGCCGAACAGGCAUCUGUAUCGGUGGGAAAGAAUUUCGGUCAGGGAUGAGCUCGCGGCCUAUCAGCCUGUUGGUGAGGUAACGGCUCACCAAGGCGACGACGGGUAGCCGGCCUGAGAGGGUGACCGGCCACAUUGGGACUGAGACACGGCCCAGACUCCUACUGGAGGCAGCAGUGGGGAAUAUUGCACAAUGGGCGCAAGCCUGAUGCAGCAACGCCGCGUGAGGGAUGACGGCCUUCGGGUUGUAAACCUCUUUUAGCAGAGAAGAAGCGAAAGUGACGGUACCUGCAGAAAAAGCGCCGGCUAACUACGUG